ACCAAUACUACACCAGACACCUUCCUAACCAAGAGAGAGAGAGAGAGAGAGAGAGGAGGGGGAUGACAUCGACGGUGCUGCGCGGGUCCGCCUUCCGCCGUGCCAUCCCAGCGGCGGCCGCCGCUAGGCUUUCAGGAGUAGAGGGAGUAGCGGUCGCGCUCCGGCCCUCACACAGCCGUCGGCUGCAUUCCUCUACUCGAGCUGAUUUGCCUCCCAAGUCUCCACUAGACGAGCUCUUUGAAUGCUCGUAGGGAGUUUGUCCCGAAGGAAGUGCAGAGGACAUGGAUGAUUUGUGCUGCAACAGUAGGUGGUUUUUUCGCUGGAUUAUUAAUAACAAGGAAGAUGGAUAACAAGAGAAAGAGAGAGCUCGGGAAUGUAAUUUAUGAGAACCUCGCGAAGUAGAGAGUUUAUUGAACUUUUGGACCAGGUAUUGUCGUUGCUUCUUCACUUUGCACCAGCUAUAUGAAAACCAAUCGCUUUGCUAUAGUGGAGCCAUUCCAAAUUCACUUUGCACCAGCUAUAUGAAAACCAAUCGCUUUGCUAUAGUGGAGCCAUUCCAAAUUCACUUUGCGUCAAGUAGGAGGAAAACCAAACAAUUGGGCCAUGCAGGCUGCCAUGUUGGUCAGCACCGCACAUGCCAUCUCUCCCUGUCUCUCCUUGGUUGCUUUGUUUGCUCCCGCCCUCAGCGCUGUGGAUUCGGGGCUAGGUGCUUUCCACGGCGGCAACUUAUGGCUGUGGACUGGGAUGUGGCUCCAGGUUGGUUUUCAUUUUAGUUGGUUCCAAGUGCUAAAUUAGAGUGGCCUCAUAGGUGCAAAAUGAUUGAUUUUUCCAUACCUGGUGCAAAUUGAAAGAAGCAACUACAGUAUCUGAUCCAAGUGCGCAUAAACUCAAUUAUAUAGGAUGAGAGAGCUGAGAACUUUAUUGCUGUGAGAUAUGUAGCUAGUUUAUUUAAUUAAGAAACAUGUCUGCCAUGCAGUUUGCAACCAACACCUGCCCGUUCAGCUGGUUUCCGAAGGCUA